rnacentral:rRNA from 1 species
CGGCACGGGUGAGUAACGCGUGGGUAACCUGCCUUGUACUGGGGGACGAACAGUUGGAAACGACUGCUAAUACCGCAUAAGCGCACAGCUUCGCAUGAAGCAGUGUGAAAAACUCCGGUGGUACAAGAUGGACCCGCGUCUGAUUAGCUGGUUGGUGAGGUAACGGCCCACCAAGGCGACGAUCAGUAGCCGGCCUGAGAGGGUGAACGGCCACAUUGGGACUGAGACACGGCCCAA